UACGUAGGGUGCGAGCGUUAAUCGGAAUUACUGGGCGUAAAGCGUGCGCAGGCGGUUCGUUAAGUCAGAUGUGAAAGCCCCGGGCUCAACCUGGGAACUGCAUUUGAAACUGGCGGGCUUGAGUAUGGCAGAGGGGGGUGGAAUUCCGCGUGUAGCAGUGAAAUGCGUAGAGAUGUGGAGGAACACCGAUGGCGAAGGCAGCCCCCUGGGCCAAUACUGACGCUCAGGCACGAAAGCGUGGGGAGCAAACAGG
rnacentral:rRNA from 1 species